GAUGAACGCUGGCGGCGUGCCUAAUACAUGCAAGUCGAGCGAACGGACGAGAAGCUUGCUUCUCUGAUGUUAGCGGCGGACGGGUGAGUAACACGUGGAUAACCUACCUAUAAGACUGGGAUAACUUCGGGAAACCGUAGCUAAUACCGGAUAAUAUUUUGAACCGCAUGGUUCAAAAGUGAAAGACGGUCUUGCUGUCACUUAUAGAUGGAUCCGCGCUGCAUUAGCUAGUUGGUAAGGUAACGGCUUACCAGGGCAACGAUGCAUAGCCGACCUGAGAGGGUGAUCGGCAACACUGGAACUGAGACACGGUCCAGACUCCUACGGGAGGCAGCAGUAGGGAAUCUUCCGCAAUGGGCGAAAGCCUGACGGAGCAACGCCGCGUGAGUGAUGAAGGUCUUCGGAUCGUAAAACUCUGUUAUUAGGGAAGAACAUAUGUGUAAGUAACUGUGCACAUCUUGACGGUACCUAAUCAGAAAGCCACGGCUAACUACGUG
rnacentral:rRNA from 1 species